rnacentral:rRNA from 1 species
UACAGAGGUCCCGAGCGUUGUUCGGAUUCACUGGGCGUAAAGGGUGCGCAGGUGGGUUGGUAAGUUUGGUGUGAAAGCUUCGGGCUUAACCCGGAAAAUGCAUUGAAUACUACUGAUCUGGAGGAUUGGAGGGGACUGGAAUUCUUGGUGUAGCAGUGAAAUGCGUAGAUAUCAAGAGGAACACCAGUGGCGAAGGCGAGUCCCUGGACAAUACCUGACACUGAGGCACGAAAGCCAAGGGAGCAAACAGG